UUUGAUAUUAAUUGUCGUUUGCUACCAAUAUUAACAUUUUCAUUACAUUUUUAAUUUUUAAAAUGCAUUCAAAUUAUUUUUUCCCAGUCUAUUAUUGAAUAAAAUUUUUAAAUGUAUUAAUUUAUAAAAAAAUAUUAGUUAUUCAACUUAAUAUUACAUAAUUAUUAUAUAUAUUCUUCUCAGUUGAGACAAAAUCAUUAGAUUCAAUUUUUCACGUUUUUCGACACAAUUAUAUAAACCUCCGUUAUAUCAAAUAACACCAUCGUGGAUUUACUUUUACAAAAACCACGUUGUUGGUCAGAAAUUUUGCUUGGUGGGUUUUGCUUGUCGGAAGAUAAACCCACGGAGACCGUGCAAGAGACCAUUGGUCUCAGUGGGUCACGACCGUUCUCGUAAAGUUAUCUUCCAUUUUGGUCUUGGGUAUACUGAGCUAAUUUUUUUUAAAUAUUUCAAUUUGUUUGAAAUUUAAUUUAAAUCUUCUUAAACAACAGUUUUUCAGUUAAAUUAAACUUUAAACUUGGUCAAAACCGAGGUUAACUGCGGUGGAUGGGGUCAUAUAUUUUGAUCUUGGAAGUUUUAACAAAAUUCUUGCUAGAUUCAGUGCUAUUUUGUCCAACGGUGCCUUUUUCUCAAACAAACAAAUUGUUAUUUCAAAAAUUAAAUAAAAUGUCAUGUAACAAUUGGAUGAAUAAACAACAAUAAUAGUUAAGGAAAUGAAGAUUCGGGCUUUUCCUCGUUGCAAAAAAUUGUUUUUUAUUCAAAAACAAACGGCUCUACCAGUUUCGGUCACGGUCUGCGACCCUAUUUCAUGAGCAAGAAAAAAUACAAAAAAUCAGCAAAAUUUAAAAACCUCAUUUUAACAUAAAAAUAAAAAUCUUAAAACUAACAAAUUCAAGUACCAACCUAUUUCAUGAGCAAACGCGCUGCUCGCUGACUAAUACAAGAAUGAGCUAGCUAAAGACAGAUUGAUUGGGGGAGGUGAUCUUUAUUGGGUGAUUAGCGCGCGGCGCGGCCGACCACGGGGGCGCCGAAUGACGUCGGGCACAUUAUGCGUUUUCGAGAAAAAGCUGUUUGCUUCCUCUCUCAAAAAGGACAUCCACCUUUGAUCGAAUUGGUGGCUCGGUUGGCUUAUUACAUUAUUACCGCAUGCCAUUGCCAUUGCUUCCAGCACUUUUCUUUUUGAUUGAUUUUGUUCGAAUUUAAUAACCGUUGCAUCUGACCAUGCAAAAGAGUGGCCAAAUUCAGUUGCGUGUUGAGCUAUUUGAAAACCAUUGCUGUCCGUCCCAAUUGAAGCCGGAUCAAAAGUUUUUGAAAUUGCCCUUUUAUGCUCGUCAAAUCGGAAAUAAACGUGUCUUUUUGUCUCCCCAAUGUAAACUGAAGAGCAAUCGGCGCAUGGCACGCGGUAUACACAAUUACGCAGAGCAGGUUCACAUUUGGGUUUUACAUGCAUUAAACAUUUUCGCAGAUUUGAAGAGUUUGAGAAAGCAACUCGUACUCUGGCAACUUCUUGGCUGAUGGCCCUGAUUUUCUCUGAUUUUCCUUUAAAAUAAGGAAUGACCAUUGUGGUUGAAAAUUGUUCGGGGGCUUUGGGUGUUGGAGGAUUUUUUGCUUUAUUGUGUGCUUUGUUGAUAAAAUUUACGGGGUAACAAUUUUGACGAAGAAUUUUGUAAAAUUGUUGUUGGUUUUAAACCCAAAUGUGAACCUGCUCUGCGUAAUUGUGUAUACCGCGUGCCAUGCGCCGAUUGCUCUUCAGUUUACAUUGGGGAGACAAAAAGACACGUUUAUUUCCGAUUUGACGAGCAUAAAAGGGCAAUUUCAAAAACUUUUGAUCCGGCUUCAAUUGGGACGGACAGCAAUGGUUUUCAAAUAGCUCAACACGCAACUGAAUUUGGCCACUCUUUUGCAUGGUCAGAUGCAACGGUUAUUAAAUUCGAACAAAAUCAAUCAAAAAGAAAAGUGCUGGAAGCAAUGGCAAUGGCAUGCGGUAAUAAUGUAAUAAGCCAACCGAGCCACCAAUUCGAUCAAAGGUGGAUGUCCUUUUUGAGAGAGGAAGCAAACAGCUUUUUCUCGAAAACGCAUAAUGUGCCCGACGUCAUUCGGCGCCCCCGUGGUCGGCCGCGCCGCGCGCUAAUCACCCAAUAAAGAUCACCUCCCCCAAUCAAUCUGUCUUUAGCUAGCUCAUUCUUGUAUUAGUCAGCGAGCAGCGCGUUUGCUCAUGAAAUAGGGUCGCAGACCGUGACCGAAACUGGUAGAGCCGUUUGUUUUUGAAUAAAAAACAAUUUUUUGCAACGAGGAAAAGCCCGAAUCUUCAUUUCCAUGAUCAUCUCCUCGAGUGUCAACUUCUUCAAACAAAUAAUAGUUAAUUUUUUUUUAAAAUUAUAUUAAAACUUUUUGUCAAUGAUAUUUAUUCUUCUUUAAUUGUUAAUGCUUUAAAAAAAUGCAGAUGUCUGCUAAAACGCCCGACACCAAAACACUGAAAAAAAAAACGUUCUGACUAAUGCAAGCAAAAAAUGCGUCAAUGAGAACUCGUCUAGCGCGAUUGCAAAAACAAAAUAAGCGAGCUAAAAUCAAUUAAACAAACCUUGCGUCGGCCGCGCGUCGAAUUGUGAUCAAUCUGACUAACCGGCGGAGUCAUCUCUCGCGGCUAUCGUUCGCUUCGGCCGUUUUGGCGACGAUUUUCGGCCAAAAUCCGCAACCAAAAUAAAAAAAAAAAAACAAAAAAACAA